rnacentral:rRNA from 1 species
UACGGAGGAUGCGAGCGUUAUCCGGAUUUAUUGGGUUUAAAGGGAGCGCAGACGGGUCGUUAAGUCAGCUGUGAAAGUUUGGGGCUCAACCUUAAAAUUGCAGUUGAUACUGGCGUCCUUGAGUGCGGUUGAGGUGUGCGGAAUUCGUGGUGUAGCGGUGAAAUGCUUAGAUAUCACGAAGAACUCCGAUUGCGAAGGCAGCACACUAAGCCGUAAUUGACGUUCAUGCUCGAAAGUGUGGGUAUCAAACAGG